CUCAGGGGAGAGAGAUCAAACAGCUGCUCUCAGCAGACCUAGAUUUCAGGGAAGGGCAGUAGUAGGUACCAGGGGGCACUUGUCAGUCAUCACCAUCAUGUUUGGUGAGGCCGCAGUACUCAUUGGCUGCGGUGGAGAAAGCUGUUCUCAGUGUGCUGCCUUGCUCAGUUUUGACUGUCUGCAGGGUAAAACACUGCAUGACAUUGGAAAUAAAGUGCAAAAGAUGUAGCACUGGCUUCCUUUAAACUGCUGUCUGUACACACUUAGGUCUGCCCUUAGGAGGAGACUUUGCUUACCAGGGGAAUUUCCCAACCUCUCUCUUCCCUUUCCCUACAUAACUUUCCUUCUCUAUCCCACUCUCAUAAAAGCAGAUGGGGCAGAUGUGCUAAGUUUUCCAAGACUAAUUGAUACUAGACUGAACUUGACUCAUCCCCUGAUUCUGGUCCAGGUUGGGUUGCCUUGCAAUGAUUCAGCAAAUGGAAACAGGCUGUCAUUAUACUGUGACAUGACAGCUCUGUAUUCACAUGUAUAUGACAAAUCAUCCAGAAUUAUGUUCUUACACAUCUGCUACGUGUUACUCAAACACAUUGGUUCACACCUAGAUCCACUCAAAGCUUCUAAAUGCAGUAUAGAAUUACAGGCAAACCACUAAUUCCUCCUGUUGCUGCUCUCCUUUGGGUAACAGCUGAGGGAAUAGAACUAUUUGAGACCUGCUUACAAAAUCUGACGUACAGUUUGAGAUUUUACAAAUUUAUUUGAUCCUCUGGGUUUUAGAGGAGGUCCUCCAGUUAGAACAUCCAUUAAGGUUUUUGAGGAAAAUAGAGGAAACUUGACUGUGUCUUUAUGUGCAUUGAUUUCACCACAGCUGAAAGUCACAGUAGAUGUGAAACCCAUCAGUCUAAAUCCAAACAGUGCUAGAGCACGUCUGCAGGAUAGCUCCUGGCUCACUUUGAACAAGAGCAUCCUUCUGUGCCUUCUGUGUGAAAUGUCUGGAGGAAAUGGUUUGCUGUGUUCUAGGAAGACACUGGUGUCACGUGCAACACCAUCAGAGGAGCAGUGGGGAGGAAAAAAGGUCCCUGGGAUGGUGCAGAAAUUGUCACAAGAGCACACACGUCUGAGCAACAGGCAACAACUGUGCUGUUCAUGGCUUUGUUGACUCAGGAGGUUGCCGGAGGCUGCACAGUGAUAAGAAGGACAAAGUCCACACCUGUUCUCUCAGUACAAACACCCUUAUCUCUGUUCCACUGCAGCCCCUCUCCCAGGGGCUGAGUAGUCCAAGGAGCAACUCCACAGCAGUUAAAGUGUGACACAGAUGGUGGCAGUUACAGCUUUUGGAAGAACCUGCUUAAAAUAGAACAUUUGUUUCUCUUUUACAUUGGAGCACUUGCCACAGAGGCUUCUGAUUUUUAGCAUCUUCCCUUAACUAUCUUUGUCUUUCAAAAGCCUCAAAUUGAGCUGAAUUUAAGAAAGCUUUUUUUUCCUCAUGGUUUUAUUGUUGCUUUUGGUUUUUUUCCUCGUGCUGCCUAAAUCAGUCUCCUGCCUUUGUACUUGUGAUAGUCUGCCCAUCACCUGCGCCUUGUGUUCAUUGUCCAAUUCCCUGUAUAGAGGAGGAAAGACUGACUGGGAAGCUGGCCUCUUCAGUUUGAGUUUUGGCUCAGAUAGGAAGAGGAAAGACUCUGGAAGUCUCUGUUAUGUGUCAGUUCCUUUCUGCACCCCAGUCGAGUCAGUUCUGUCUCUCCUGUUGAGAUCCUCACUUUGUGGCAGGAAUAAAACACUAAGUUCUGUGAGUCUCUUCUCAUAGUGGUUAAAGUCUUGUGGGUUUUGUCGACUUUUGACACAGUAGGGGGCUUUGUGAUGCAAAAUAGCGCCGAGAAUCUUAGUACUGUGUGAUUUCCUAGGACAGCUGUAUGAAAUCCUGUCUACUCUGUACAUUAUCAAAGGGCAGUCUGCAAAACCAAUGCAGCAAGUCCUUUAGGCCCAAGGCUACACCACAGUCCAAGUGAUUACAGUCUGGCCAGCUGACCCCUUGCUCAAAUACACAGUUCCACCUGCAGAGCCUCCUCACAGGCUAAGACAUCAGAAGUUGAAACCUUUUCUCUUUUACUGGCUAUAAGACUAUCAUUGACUGUCAGAGGGGAGGAUUUCACUCUUAACUGAGUUCUCCUGCUUGUUUUUAUGGUCAAAUCUCAAUUGUUUCAGUGAGUCAGAACUGCAUAAAUGGGUCUGCCUUGUUCAAUCUCUCCUUCCCUCUCUCCAACACUGUUUUCUGCCUUUUAGUUUCCCUCUCUCCUCAGAUGCAAACCGUCUCCCCAAGGUCUUGUUCUCCAGGGUCUAAUCUGUCUCCUAGUUGGUCUCACAGGUAGCUUUUACUUCCUUCUUCUGAACUCUUGUUCUCCUGCUCUCAGUUGCUUAUUGUCAUGUGAUCAUAGCCCAUCUCCAUGGCUCAUCCCCACCACAGGGGCCAGGGGUUCUCCAUGUCAGCUUCCCAUUUCCUUAGUUCUGAGGUGGGAGAAGCCUCCAUUUCCCUGAGGUGGGUUCUGAAUUGCUGCUUUGGACCAGACCCUACUCAAGCAGAGGUUCAGGGUGAAGUGCUCAGGAUCAUCUCCGGCCCUUUCCUCUGGAGCUGCUCCACAGCCCAGGCAGAGCCUGGAGCCAGGCUGGGCACAGGGAAGGUGGAUUGCUGUACCUCUCUCCAUUGGAUUGAUACCUCUCUCCAUUUGCUUUACCUGCAGUAGUCUGAUCCCUUCCCCCAAGCCCCGACUCCAGCAGCGCUUCCAGCAGCUCCACUUGGAGAUGAGUCAGCUUCGAGACCAUGGUCUUCAGCCUGCUGUCUCUUGGGUUUGAAUUUCGGGUUAUCCUGCUUCCAGCUUCCCUACACCAUGGUCCUGAGGUAACGCGCCCGACUGUCAGGAGAGUGGGCACAGCACAGCCUCCCGCCUUCACACCCCCCCAAAAAAAACAAAAUACAAAAUUGAGCCACUUCAGACCCCCCACAACUGUCCUGAGCCAGUGCUGAUAAAGGGACCCUUGGCUAUCUGUUUACAUUGGAGCAAAUGUAAAUUCUCCAAGGUUCAUAUUUAUCUGUGUGCUUUAGCAAGUUACUGAACUUUGGACUUCAGCACUGCCGCAGCAGUUCACAAAGUGCAGAGGGAGAGAAAGCAGGGGGAGGGGGAAAGGGAGGGAAGCAGGAGAGAGAAGGAGAGGAAAAUGAAGGGAUAAAAAAUCUGCAGCAUGGAAAAGUGAGUAUGGAAAGAAAACUAGGAUGAUGGCAAUGGAGAAGCAUGGCUUACUUCUGGCCCCAUUAGUUUUGGAGAAGGAAGGAGGUGGAGCACCCUAAAGGAAGAGCUGUGCUUGGUUGCCCAUGGUUCAGGACAAGGUGCUGCCGUUGGAAUAUCGCAGAACCUGCUCAGAGCCCUGGCAGUGCUGAAGUGCAGCCAGUGUCAUGCCCUGCCAAAGGCUUUGGGCUGACAGAAAGCCACAGUGGCAGUGCACUGGCCUUUGUGCAACCCCCAGCAGGGGGGGGCGAUCACUGGCUUUAUGUGAAUGUUCCCAAGCCUCGCAGGGUGUUCUGAAGCUCCAGCUGAUUUCUGUGGCAGAGCAUCAAAACUUAAGUGACUUUUUCAAUUCUGGCUUUGGCUUGCCGGGUACCUUGAUGUGCAAAUACUAGUAGUACCUCCAUUUUAUCUGGCCAUGUUUAUUGCUCAACUGUGAGCAGGAGCAGUGUUAAUAAUUUGGGGGAUUACAGGGCUUGCCCCUCUGAGCUUGUGAUUCGUGUAUUUGAUAAAGGAUAGCCCUGGGUGCUGGGUCAUGCUCUGUCAUCAACUGCCCUACUGCUUCUGAUGAGUGCUCUGGGCAAGCUUGUGGUUCCCCUUUAUCAUCUGACUCCAAUCCCUUCUUGAUACCAGCCCUGCUCUGAGGUUCUGCUCCCACCUGUUCGGUGAUUUCCUAAAACAUGAUCCCUGGCUUGGCUGGAAUCCCUUAAUACACUUCUCCGGGAAUCUUUAUCACUAAAUGGUCUUUUCUGGUCUGAAAUGAUAUGAAUGGAUCUAUCUAUUUUGAGUGCCUAAAUUAGGGAGUAACUUGAUGUGCACAUGUGGACUCGAUACACGAGUGCCUCAUGCGAGUGAUUCCUUGGAGGAUGUAAAGCUGUUGUCUCAAUAGAAGCUUUCCAGGCACAGCUGCCUGUGUCUAUACACUCCCACCAAACAAGAGCUAAACGGAGCCUGGCAGGGCUGUCCCCAGGCUGGGCAGUGUCCCAGGACAAUGCUGCAGAGGACCUUGGCCCCUGUUUUCCCUCGUGGGCACCGCUGGCCAAGCUCUCCCGGCUCCUGAGUAAGCAGCUGAAGGACAGAGUUCCUGCACAGGGACCCUCCUCCCUGCAGGCACCGGGCGGGACUCUGUUAACUCUUGCCUUUUAUUUCAGAUCUGCGCCCGGAGCACCACGUCCCCUCCCUGCAGGGCGUUAACAAAGCUUUAAUGGAAACGGACGGCUUUCUGUGGCUACAAAGGAGUAAGAGUUCCGAGCCCAUGUAAAAACAUUUAUUGUAAGAAAUUUUCAUGCGAACAUUAAUGUAAAAAGACAACUUCAGCUUCUAAAUGUUUUUUUUUGGGUCAUAGUCUUAAUAAAGAGUUAUGCUGGUUUUGCA